rnacentral:lncRNA from 1 species
CAGAAAAGGUCCAACAGGACGGCUAAGACUCCACUCACGUCACAACCUCACUAAAGGUAGGAAAAAGCGUCACUCACUAUCUCACCCGGGCUGCCCAAAACGAACCCACCCUGCCUGUAUCUAGCUGCGCCGCACACCACCCCGAGGAUAGCCGGUUCAAGAACUGUCCAACAGAAACCGCGACACUCAUCGCACUGAAACCUCAUUCCGGAAUGGCAUUCGUGGGCGCGACCUAACAGAGUUUACAAGUGUCUCUGUCAAGUUCGUACUGCUCUCACAGGCUAAGGUCAACUAACGAACUCUAACUGGUCUAACAACUAACAGAUCACGUGCCCUCGGCACAAUCCGUCGCCAAAAAGGCGAUACGGGUCCAACGUCAACCCCGACGGCCCCCAACAGUCCGGAACAGCCUGAAAGCUACUAUGAAAAAAUUCACUCGGCAUCCCAGCACGAGCGUAAAUACAUUCUAAUCUACCUGGGAUACUCACUAUGAUGAUACUGCAACAGUAUAAAAUCAUACAACGGCCCCUAGGGCUAAAUCAGGUAGUUUAACAUAUGACGAUUAAUAUCGCAAGUUUUCUCUUAAGUCUUAUCCAAGUCCAACAUGUAUGUAUAUCCCUAGAUAAAUAGACUAAGCUCCAAUUCAGAUUAUUACAAAACUAAAUCAAUGAACCGAGCAAUUGCGACACGCAAAAGAAUUCCGCUAAUACAUGUUGACUAUAUAGGCACUUAGGAGUAAGCCGAUGAUUAACCCACCUCGGUCGCUAAUCCCGGGCAGCACGGAACUCCCUCGGCUGUGGAACAACCUGUUGGAUCGACUAAAAAUGUCCGAGUCCCGAAAUCGAGCUAUCUCCAACUAUAAACAUUGAAAAUCCUCAAUUCAGUUCAAAAUCCACAGCAGCAGAGUAAAACAGAGCUUCGACCAAGCUAACCUUCACCAAAUCCCGCAAGUAAGGGAUUCGUGGAUUCCUCUCAAAGUCCUGAAUCCAGCGAACCAAGUCUCGUCAAAAUCCGAUGCUCCUGCGUCGAGUACGAGCUAAAAUACUAACAGUCGACGAUGAAUUUCAGCAAAACAGCAUCACUUGAGUUCGAAGUAGUAAGAACUUGCCCAAAAACAAAUGGAAAUGCUGAAUUACCCACCUCGACAACGCCAAGCACCGAUGCGACAGCAAAAACGGCAAAAACCCACGCUCGCCCGGCCUCCUCGCGCUACCCCGGCGUCAAAAGUGUGCUCGAACGGUCCCGCAGCGCGACGUCGGCGACAAACCUUCCAACCGAACUUCUUCCUUGCCUUCAACCGGAUGAGAGUGAGAGAGAGAUGAAGAUGAAGAAAAAGGACUCCUCUCUCUCUCUACACAAAGUUAUAUAGAGAGAGGGAGAGCUACUGAUACAAACGAGGUGGAGAUUUACUCAAAUACCCUCUCACCUACCCCCUUGUACCGGUACACGGGCUCCUGUACCGGUACAAGAGCCAACCCGAGGGCAACCUGCGCGCAGCCUCGCUAGUUGUACCGGUACAGCGACGCUGGUUGUAUCGGUACAGCAAGUAGAGAAAUCUGCUGUUUUGCAGAUUUCUUCGCUAUAAGCUGCCCUCGCGUCGCACGGAGUCCGUUUUGCGUAUAUUUGACGCCAAUGCGACUCGGACUUGUCCCGACACUCUCCAGAGCUGCCGACAAGCCUCCACAAUAGUACACCAGGGAUCUCACAUCCUCCCCCUCUACAAAAAGUUUCGUCCGCAAAACUUAAGUACACCUCAACUCAGGCAUCAAACAACUAGGGAUAGGCCUCCCUCAUCACCGUCUCAGGCUCCCAAGUCGCCUCCCGUUCCUCGUGAUCGCUCCACUGCACUUUCACAUACGGUAUGACCCAGUUGCGCAAUUCUUUCGUCUCCCAAGCAAGAAUCCGCAAAGGUCGCUCCUCGUAUCUCAGAUCCUCGCUAAUCUCUAGUGGAGUGAAGUCGAUCACGUGAGAGGGAUCGAAAACGUAUCUUCUCAAUACUGAGACGUAGAAAACAUCGUAUAUGCCAGCAAAUCGCGGGGGUAGAGUUAUUCUGUAUGCAACCGGUCAAACUCGCUCCAAUAUCUCGAAAGGGCCAACAAAUCGUGGACUGAGCUUUCCACGUACCCCAAAUCAGCGUAUCCCUCUGGACGGCGAGACUUUGAGGAAAACAUGAUCUCCAACCUGAAACUUCAAGUCUCGUCUCCUGGUAUCGGCGUAGCUCCUCUGACGGCUCUGUGCUGUCAAAAGGUGUCGUCGAACAACUCUCACAUUUUCCUCAGCCUCAAGUAGAAUCUCCGGUCCAAGUGUCCUCCUCUCACCCACAUCACUCCAAAACAGAGGGGAUCGACAUCUGCGUCCAUACAACGCCUCAAACGGAGCCAUCUGAAUGCUCGUUUGAUAGUUGUUGUCGUACGCAAACUCAACUAGUCUCACAUGUCGAUACCACCCUCCUCCAAAAUCCAGGACGCAUGCCCUCAGCAUGUCCUCUAGAGUCUGUUUGGUCUUCUCUGAUUGACCAUCAAUCUGUGGGUGGAACGCCGUGCUGAAAUGCAGCUGAGUGCCCAAGGCUGUCUGAAGGCUCCUCCAAAACUGGGAUACAAACCUCGGGUCUCUGUCUGACACAAUAGACACUGGCACGCCGUGCAGCCUGACGAUCUCAUCCAGGUAUAUCUGCGCGAGUCUCUCUCUAGACCAGAUAAUCUGAACUGGUAGGAAGUGAGCAGACUUGGUCAGUCUGUCCACUAUCACCCAAAUAGCGUCACAACCACUCUGUGCUCUAGGCAAUCCCACGACAAAAUCCAUCGUGAUGUACUCCCACUUCCACUCUGGCACUGGCAGACUCUGAAGCUUGCCAGCAGGUACCUGCUGCUCGGCCUUCACCUGUUGGCAAGUCAAACACUGAGCCACAUAUCUGCCAAUGUCCCUCUUCAUUCCAUGCCACCAGAACUGUGCCUUUAAAUCCUUAUACAUUUUGGUUCCCCCACGGUGAACCGUAUAAGGAGAACAAUGAGCCUCUCUCAGAAUGUCUGCUCGAAUCUCUGAAUCCACAGGCACACACAGUCGGUCCCUGUACCGCAGUACUCCCGAACUGUUCACAGCAAAACCCUCAGCCUACCCCCUGUCUAGCUGCUCUCUAAUCCUCAACAAGUACGGAUCUCCACUCUGUUUCUCUCGGAUCCUAUCCAACAGAGUGGGCUGCAAAACUAGAGACGUCAGCCUCGCUGUAGAACCAGGAGGUACUAUCUCGAGUCCCAGCUGCUGUAGCUCCUCGAGUAGGGGUCUCUGCUCAGUGAUCGUCAAACUCAGGCUCUGCACUGACUUCCUGCUCAACGCAUCUGCCACAACAUUCGCCUUGCCAGGAUGAUACUGAAUACUAAUAUCAUAGUCCUUCAGUAACUCCAACCACCGGCGCUGCCUCAAGUUCAGCUCCCUCUGUGUGAACAGACACUUGAGACUUUUAUGAUCAGUAAAGACCUUGCAGUGCUCACCGUACAAGUAAUGCCGCUAGAGCUUCAAAGCAAAUACCACCGCGGCAAGCUCCAAAUCAUGCUAGGGUAAUUCUUCUCAUAAUCCUUUAACUGCCGUGAAGCAUAAGCAAUUACCCUACCAUGCUGCAUCAGCACACAACCAUGCAUCACUGAAGAUCACAAAUCCUUCCCCCAUCACCGGAAAGGUAAGGAUAGGAGCCGAUGUCAACCUCAGUCUCAACUCGUCAAAGCUCCUCAGACAGUCGUCACUCUAGACAAAUCGAAUCCUCUUCCACGUCAAGCGUGUAACGGGCAUGGAAAGCUUCGCAAAGCCUUCCACAAACUGACGGUAAUAUCCUGCCAGUCCCAGGAAACUCCGUACCUCAGUCACCGUCGUCGGUCUAGGCCAAUCUCGAAUCGCUUCAAUCUUCUUCGGGUCCACUGCUAUGCCCUCAGCUAAAAUCACGUGGCCCAAGAAAGCAACCUCCCGCAACCAGAACUCGCACUUCUUCAACUUGGCAUACAACUUCUUCUCUCGCAGAAGCUGUAGCACAAUUCUCAAGUGCUCCUCAUGCUUAGCAUCGCUCCGGGAGUAAAUCAGGAUAUCGUCGAUGAAGACUACCACAAACCUAUUCAAGAACGGCUUGAACACUCUGUUCAUCAAAUCCAUGAAUGCGGCAGGGGCAUUUGUCAAUCCAAAAGGCAUCACUGUAAACUCAUAAUGCCCGUACCGAGUCCGAAAAGUCGUCUUGGGAACAUCCUCGGCCCUCACCCUCAACUGGUGGUAACCUGACUGGAGAUCAAUCUUCGAAAAGACAUAAGAUCCCUGCAACUGAUCAAACAAAUCAUCAAUACGCGGCAAGGGAUACUUAUUCUUGAUGGUCACUUUAUUCAACUCCUGGUAAUCCACACACAGCCUAAGUGAACCAUCCUUCUACUUCACAAACAACACCGGCGCUCCCCAAGGCGAAAACACUAGUUCUCACAAACCCUCUAUCAUCAAAUCCUGCAGCUGCGCCUUUAGCUCUCUCAGCUCUGCUGGCGUCAUUCUAUAAGGUACCUUCGAGAUUGGUGCAGUUCCAGGAACUACAUCAAUCAUAAACUCAAUCUCCCUUUUCGGCGGCAACGUAGUCAACUCAGGGGAAAACACAUCCGAAAACUCGCGGACUAUAGGGAUAUCCUCGAGUGCCGGCGCCGCCGUAGGUACCUCCACAACUGUCGCAAGAAAAGCGAUACACCCACUACUCAGCAUUUGUCGAGCUCUCGCCGAAGAUAUCCAUGUGGCAAACAACGUACUCCUGCAGCCUCCGAACGUAAACUCCGUCUGGCCUGGCUCGCAGAACGUCACCGUCCUCGCUCCACAGUCUAUCGUAGUAUAGUACCGCGCCAGCGAAUCCAUACCGAGCACGAUGUCGAAGUCCUGCAGCUGCCCUAACACGAACAGGUCUGCGGGCAUAAACCAUGAAUUUAACUGCACCGGACACGACCAACAACACUCUGCAACCUGUAAAACAUGGUCGGGGAUAUGCACCUCUCGUGCCAAAGACAAUGACCCUAACUCUAGACCAUGCAACAAUACAAAUGCUCGGCUAACAAAAGAAUGCGAGGUACCGGUACCAACUAAAGUAUGAGUACAAAUGCCGAAAAUCACAGUAAUACCUGCCACUACACGAUCGGCUGCUGAAGAGUCCUCCCGGCGGUAACUUGGUGGUGCUCCAAAAGUCUGCUGGUCAGCUGGCUGCGCUGAUGCAAUGGAUAGCGCUGGAAAUGUCGCUCUAGGACACGCUGACCUCACAUGUCCUGGCUGUCCACAAGUGUAGCAGCGGCCCUCUUUCUGCUCAUAUUGUCGGGGCCAGUGUGGUCCUCCACAAAUCACGCACCGCAGCGUCCUCGGUGACGGUCCCUGCUGAAGCAAUCCCCUGGAAUGCUGACGCCCCGAUGAACCACGACCCUGAGAGCAAGAUCGAGAAAGCCUCAGCGGACGUCUGCUACUCGCCUGUCCUCCAUUAUCUGGAAAAGGGCGCUUCCUGUCUUGGCUCUGCCCCGGUGCCAUAGUCCGCUCCUGGACAGGUGUAACUCCGUGUCCCACCAAGAGUGCCUGCUGCACAGAUGCUCCUGUCUCAACGCCUAAAAACUAAGUGAUAAUCUCAUAAAUCCUCUGCAAUAGUACACUCUGCUACUUGAUCACCUCUGCCAGGGCAGCCAACUGCUCUCUCAAAUCAGGGGGUACACUUGCCUCCGGUCGUGCACUCGGCUCUGCCUGGUCAGGCAUCUUUAGCGGUGCGACUCGAUCCUUGGUCGACGGUCGACCACGGCAGCGAUCUGAAAGAAACAGAACGGGGUCAGAUAACACACAAACACUCUCGACCCAAUCAAUGAAAGUCUAGAAGGCAGCCCCUGUUUUCCUCCAAAAUUAUGUCGUCUGCAGCCAACAUAAUUUCUCAGGCCAAAACAGGUACUCCUUCAAUCACUCACCCCACUCACGGAGGAGUUAGAACAACUAAUCAGUGACUUUCGCAAUUAAAUUACGCCUCUCGCAUUUUGCUUUCCUAAGGUUUGCCAAACUUAGGUUCUCUAGGUCCCAACGACCUAAUGCUAAGCUCUGAUACCAAUUUAAUCUGUCACGCCCCGGAUUACACGUUCCCCGAGCACGCCGACAAAUCCGCCGUAUACAAAGAAUUUUUUCCUGUAUACGAAGCGACAGCUGUACCUGUAAAACAUACAAUACUACAAACAACAGUAUAGAGCUGCUAGAAGAACUAAUAAAGUAAAAGAAAUCGAGUUCCAUAUACAUACACUGAAUCCCAUAGUACAAAACUACUCGUGCUGGCGAGUUAAAAGUCUGUAUGUACAUGAACCCAAACCAAAACAUCUACCUGCAGUAGGGGUGCCUCUAGCUCUGCUCCUCGGGUAGGGCUCUAACUCGCGACGCCCUUGCUUAGAUCCUGAUCAGCAAUAGCAGCAGCCGAAGACGAAGGCUCUACAAAAACGGGGUAACAACUGGGCGUGAGAACUAUUGUAGAAACAAGUAGUCCUCAGUGGGUGAAGCCCUCAACAAUCAUCGGUCCACCCACUAAGUCUACAGAAGGUAACAAGGCUAGCAGGAAAAGCUGGAAAGAAAUCUACAGCUACAUAUCGCUAUACUAGCAUGAUCUACACUUACCAACUGUAGUAAAAGUCACAACUGACUCAAUCUCACUAGGGACUGUGAACACACCCGUCCCGCCUGUCGGAUCGAACCCGUAACCUACUCCAAGAGUAGCUGGUGGAGAAAACUCUCUAGGGACUGUGAAUACACCCAUCCCGUCUAAUUAGGUGACACCGUAGCUCAAGGUAACCGGCGGAGAAGACUCUCUAGAGACUGUGAAUACACCUGUUUCAUCUACUAGACUACACCGUAUCUCAAGAGUAACCGGCGGAGAAAACUCUCUAAAGACUGUGAAUACACCUGUCUCGUCUAAUUAGACUACACCGUAUCUCAAGAGUAGUCGAUUCCAGAAAAGGUCCAACAGGACGGCUAAGACUCCACUCACGUCACAACCUCACUAAAGGUAGGGAAAAGCGUCACUCACUAUCUCACCCGAGCUGCCCAAAACGGACCCACCCUGCCUGUAUCUAGCUGCGCCGUACACCACCCCAAGGGUAGCCGGCUCAAGAACUGUCCAACAGAAACUGCGACACUCAUCGCACUGAAACUUCAUUCCGGAAUGGCAUUCGUGGGCGCGACCCAACCGAGUUUACAAAGGUCUCUGUCAAGUUCGUACUGCUCUCACAGGCUAAGGUCAAGUAACCAACUCUAACUGGUCUAAUAACUAACAGAUCACGUGCCCUCGGCAUAAUCAGUCGCCAAAAAGGCGAUGCGGGUCCACCGUCAACCCCGACGGCCCCAACAGUCCGGAACAGCCUGAAAGCUACUAUAAAAAAAUUCACUCGGCAUCCCAGCACGAGCGUAAAUACAUUCUAAUCUACCUGGGAUACUCACUAUGAUAAUACUGCAACAGUAUAAAAUCAUGCAACGGCCCCUAGGGCUAAAUCAAGUAGUUUAACAUACGACGAUUAAUAUCGCAAGUUUUCUCCUAAGUCUUAUCCAAGUCUAACAUGUAUGUAUAUCCGUAGAUAAAUAGACUAAGCUCCAAUUCAGAUUAUUACAAAACUAAAUCAAUGAACCGAGCAAUUGCGACACGCAAAAGAAUUCCGCUAAUACAUGUUGACUAUAUAGGCACUUAGGAGUAAGACGAUGAUUAACCCACCUCGGUCGCUAAUCCCGGGCAGCACGGAACUCCCUCGGCUGCGGAACAACCUGCUGGAUCAACUGAAAAUAUCCGAGUCCCGAAAUCGAGCUAUCUCCAACUAUAAACAUCGAAAAUCCUCAAUUCAGUCCAAAAUCCACAGCAGCAGAGUAAAACAGAGCUUCGACCAAGCUAACCUUCACCAAAUUCCACAAGUAAGGGCUUCGUGGAUUCCUCUCGAAGUUCUAAAUCCAGCAAACCAAGUCUCGUCAAAAUUCGAUGCUCCUGCGUCGAGUACGAGUUGAAAUACUAACAGUCGACGAUGAAUUUCAGCAAAACAGCAUCACUUGAGUUCGAAGUAGUAAGAACUAGCCCAAAAACAAAUGGAAAUGCUGAAUUACCAACCUCGACAACGCCAAGCACCGAUGCGAUAGCAAGAACGGCGGAAACCCACGCUCGCCUGGCCUCCUCGCGCUACCCCAGGGUCAAAAGUGUGCUCGAACGGUCCCGCGGCGCGACGUCGGCAGCAAACCUUCCAACCGAGCUUCUUCCUUGCCUUCAACCGGAUGAGAGUGAGAGAGAGAUGAAGAUGAAGCAAAAAGACUCCUCUCUCUCUCUACACAAAGCUAUAUAGAGAGAGCGAGAGCUGCUGAUACAAACGAGGUGGAGAUUUACUCAAAUACCCUCUCACCUACUCCCUUGUACCGGUACACGGGCUCCUGUACCGGUACAAGAGCCAACCCGAGGGCAACCUGCGCGCAGCCUCGCUGGUUGUACCGGUACAGCCACGCUGGUUGUACCGGUACAGCAAGCAGAGAAAUCUGCUGUUUUACAGAUUUCUUCGCUAUAAGCUGCCCUCGCGUCGCACAGAGUCCGUUUUGCGUCUAUUUGACGCCAACGCGACUCGGACUUGUCCCGACACUCUCCAGAGCUGCCGACAAGCCUCCACAACAGUACACCAGGGAUCUCACAGGUUUGGGUUCACAUAUUUGAAAAUUCAAAACGAAUUUGAUCCGCUGACAUCGCUAACUAUUACUUUUUUUUAUCACUAAUCUUAACCUUUUUAAUUUUUACGUUUAAAAUAUUUAUUAUCUUUCACGAUGUCAGAUGUUAAAUUAUUUAUCCCCUCGAAUUCAGACUCAGAUUUGGAUGUUAUAUUUACAAUAUUUUUGAAUUCCGAUACGGAUACAUCAAAGUAUUUCGGACUCGGAUUCGAAUAUUUGAGAAUUAAUAUAAGUUAUUAAUUCAUAUAUAGUGUAAAAAAAAAAAAAAAAUGGCUAGUAUAGCUGAAAUGGUAGUGAGCUUUCUCGUAUAGAUCUACUCCACACUAAAAUCUCCCACUCUAUACAAUUGUCCCACUGGUGAUAUACGACAUUCACUCCAUAUAUAACCCCUACACGCAAAUGAGGAUCCAAAAGAGAACAAAACCCUCCUGAAUAGGACCAUCUCCUUAAUCCAGUGUCUUGCUUGUUAAAUUUCUCUCGUCUCCUCUUAUUUACUUAAGAACCAUAAGUUAAUUGAUCAUUUCGUCGACGCAAACAGAAGCUAAAUAAAUAGAAAUAAGCAAUCUUUAUUUCAGAUGUGUGAUUAGUUAAUUCACAGGUGGAACUAAUUUCUAUUUUAUGAGCAAUGUAAUCUCGCAACACGCUGUAGUCAUCUGAACAAGUACGGGUUGUCUACACAUUUAUCAUAUGAACAAGUUACACGAGAAUAAUGCGUGCAGUAUGGGUAUUUUCUUUAGGCUUAGUUUGGUAUUGAAGCCUAUCCAACGCUAUUAGAUAAAAUAGAGUUGAAGAAAAAGCAUAUAGGGAUAUAUUUCUGCAUUCUCCGGUGGGAAUAUAUCGUAACUGACUAAUCGAGAUAUACGGAACACAAUAUUACUGUCACGCCCCGGAUAUCACGUUCCCCGGGCACGCCGACAAAUCCGCCGUAUACAAAGGAAUUUCUACUAUAUACGAAGCGAUAGCUGUACCUGUAAAAAUACAAUACUACAACUAGUAGUAUAGAGCUGUAAGGAACAAAACAUAACCUGAUAGCAAGUAAAAGUUCACUAUACAUACAACAUCUGUAUACAAAAGCUCGCUUCACGAUAAACAGUAAUGAUAGUAUGUAUAAGAACUCAAAAACUACAACAACCUGUAGCUGGUACUUCACUAGCUCUGGCUCGUCUGGUAGGGCUCUAACUCGCGACGCCCUUGCCACGAUCAAUCUGAGAGGGGGCAACAGUCGGCACCGAAGGCUCUGCAAAAGAAGGGUAACAACUGGGCGUGAGAACUACUGUAAAAACAAGUAGUCCUCAGUGGAUGCCGCCCUCAAUAUUAUCGGUCCACCCACUAAGUCUACAGAAGGGAGCAAAGAUAGUAGAAGAAUGCUGAAAGGAAAUCUACAGCUACAAGUCACUACACUAUCAUACUCUAUACUAACCAAUUGUAGAAAAUGUCAAUUCUGACCCAAUCCAACUGGUACUGUAAGCAUACCCGUCCCUGGGACUGUAAACACACCCGUCCCGCCCGGUUGCGACUACAGCUGUCCGUGGAGAGCAAGUCCAACCUGCACGAAUGACACCAACACGAAAGCACAACGCCCGUCUCCGAAGUGGCACUCGUGGGAGCUACCCAACCGAGUAUGCAACGUAUCUCUGUCGAGCUCAAUCAGGCUCUCACAAGCCAAAGUCAAGUAACCAGGUCCAACUGAUCUAACAACUAACAGGUCACGUGCCCUCGGCACAAUCUGACGCCAAAACGGCGAUAGGGGUCCACCGUCAACCCCGACGGCCCCCAACAGUUCGGAACAGUCUGAACAUUACUGUAAAAAUACACUCGGCAUCCCAGCACGAGCGUAAGUGAAAUCUAAACUACCUGGGGUAUCGACAACACUGAUACUGCAGCAAUACAAAAUAACAACGGCUCCUAGAGCUAAAUCAGGUAGUUUAAGUAUAUGAC